GCAGUUUCCUGCUACACGAGUUGUCUUCUGCAAGAAUGGGCUGGAGGAGUUCAGCCUGAAAGCCCAGCAGGGCAGGCUCAUCUACGCUCUGGUCCUGAACAUCACCUCCAGAAGUGCUGGGAUGUACACGUGUGGGUACCAGCAAAAGAACAAGGAAAACAACGUGAAGAACUCUGCUCUCAGUGCUCCCCGGACCUUGUCUGUAGCAGGUGCUGGUGAGACCAUCACUGAUAUCCACAGCCACACAGCCCCAUAUCCCCGGAUUCUGCACACCCUCCCCACAGGCACGGUGCUGGCAGUGGCGGCCGUCGGCCUCGUCCUCCUGGCUGCAGGCAGCUGGUUUGCCAUCAGGAAAGGUGCCUGCAGAGGGAGAUGCCCAAGGCAGCAGCACGUUGACAGCCCACAGACGGAAGACACCAACAAAGGCGACAUCCAGUACUCCACCAUCGCCCAUGUUCGACGGGACAGGCCUCGUCCCGUGCAGCAGAUGAGCGACACCACGACGUAUGCCACGGUGACCCGCACCCAGAUCCGAUAGCGCUGCCACAGGGCAAGGAGCAAGGGCACAGGAGCCUUGCCCACGGCUGCCUUUGCUCUCUUGCAGAGGGCUCGUGCAGGCUUAAGGAGGGGCUGGGGGUUGCACUUUGUGCUUCUUUGGAGUUUGCUGUCACAGGGAAGGGCUGUGUGUGUCUAGCCACGACGAUGUAGGACUCAUUUCUCUAUUUGCAAUACAUUAAGACCUAAAAUAUCACAUUUACCAAAUCAUAGU
rnacentral:lncRNA from 1 species